GUUUGUCUCCCAGCGCUUAGAACAGAGCCUGGCACACAGCCGAGGCGCCGUUUUCCCUUCAGGAUUCCAUCCAGAUCCCUCUGAUUGAUGCUGAUUGAAAUCCUUCCCGGGUGCUCGUCGAGGCAGGACCAGGUCACUGAGGCGAAGAGAAGUGAAGCGACUCGCCC